GACGAACGCUGGCGGCGUGCUUAACACAUGCAAGUCGAACGGAAAGGCCCUGCUUUCGUGGGGUGCUCGAGUGGCGAACGGGGGAGUAAGACGUGAGUAACCUGCCCUUGACUUUGGGAUAACUUCAGGAAACUGGGGCUACUACCGGAUAGGAGCUCCUGCUGCAUGGUGGGGGUUGGAAAGUUUCGGCGGUUGGGGAUGGACGCGCGGCUUAUCAGCUAGUUGGUGGGGUAGUGGAUUACCAACGCUUUGACGGGUCGCCCGCCUGAGAGGGUGACCGGCCACAUUGGGACUGCGAUACGGCCCAGACUCCUACGUGAGGCAGCAGUGGGGAGUAUUGCACAAUGGGCGGAAGCCUGAUGCAGCGACGCCGCGUGCGGGAUGACGGCCUUCGGGUUGUAAACCGCUUUCGCCUGUUACGAAGCGUGAGUGACGGUAAUGGGUAAAGAAGCACCGGCUAACUACGUG
rnacentral:rRNA from 1 species